CCGCCGAGGGCAACAUCGCGGAACUGGAAUUGUUGCGCACAUUCAACUGCGGCAUCGGCAUGAUCGCCAUCGUCAAGCGUGAACAACUCGUCGAGGUGAUGGACGUGUUCGCGCAGAACGGCGAGCGCGUGGUCGAUCUGGGCGAAGUCGUCGAAGCUUCCAGCGACGAGCGCGUGAUCUACGACGGCCACCUGAACCUGGCGGAUUGAGAUGGCACGACGCCGCGUCGCCAUUCUGAUUUCGGGACGCGGCUC
rnacentral:misc_RNA from 1 species